rnacentral:lncRNA from 1 species
CUCUGAGUAUAACACCUUUAUUUUUCCUCUUGGUCCCAUGUCUAUUACGUUAAGGGAUGUUGGGGCCCUGGUAAAUUUACCACCUUUGGGUGAUACCGUUUUCCCAGGCAUCUUAGUUUCUGGUGGCGCCCCUCAGUUCGGUAAAAACUAUACCGAUUCUUAUUCAAGCCUGCAGACACUGCACAAUCAUUCGAGUGCUGAGCCUACUCAUGCUGAGCGAGUGGCCUUCCUUUUACUCUGGCUUUGUAAAUAUGUGUUGUGCGUGCCUAGUAUAAAGCCCUCUCUGAGUUAUCUACCUAUAGCGCAUGAACUGGCGCGUGGCAGGCCUUUGAAUUUAUGUUCUUUGUUUUUGGCUGCCCUUUAUAGAGGUAUGGCUUUUCUUCAGGCUCAAUUGAAGAAUGGUGCAUCUCCUACUGGCAGUGGACCUCUUUGGUUCACUCAGCUGUGGUUGAGAUCCUAUUUUCCAUCGCUUGGUGCUCCAUCCAUUUCUUGUCCUUCUGCUAGCUGUUACGGGCUAGCUAUGGAGCCUUUAACUCCUGUAAGUAUGUCCAAAAGGGACAUUUUUUCAUUCUUUUAUUCUUUAAAUUCGAUCUCUUCCUUCUUUCCUUUCCCUCCUUUUUUGACUCCGGACUAUGUACAUCCUCCUUCCACUCUAGAUAGCGCGAGCACCUCUCUGCUCAUUUGGAUCCAGUUCUUAACUGGGAGGGAGCUUUUCCACGAUAUCUUAACCGGGACCAAUGCCAAAGCUGGGGUAGAAAUUUAUGCUCCCCAAUUUUUUGCUCGGCAGCUUGGUUUUGGCCAAACUUGGCCUGUUCCUCUUUGCUAUUCGAAGAACUUAAAC